AGUGAACUGGGCGCCAACACACUUUUGCCAUGAUCCGCGCCGGCUCCUGUCACCCGCCCACUAUAUUUCCAGCAGCAUCUUUGACUGAGGGUGUGGUCUGGCUCUGCUGCACUGCAGGGGUCUGCAUGAUCCCAUCUCCUCUCCUCCUCCACUGGCCUGCAGCAUCAGGACUCUGCUCCUAUUAUCAAAGAUCACAUGAAGAAAGAAGAUGAUACCCCGCCUUCCCCCCUCCAGAUUUAGAGUGGUAAAGAGAAAGAACAAGGGAACACAAAGGAAUCAGGUUUCCAAGGAUCUGCAGGCUACAGCAAAAAAAUUACAGGAGACAGGAGAAGCUGCACAGGACAAGGGUUAUUGAUUUAUGGAAUCAUAUUUAUAAAUGAUAUUAAUAUUUAAUAUCAUAUAUGAUUGUCAAUAUAUGGAUAUAUUUUAAUUAAUAUGUGUUUAUCAUAUAUGUCUGCAAAUAUAUUAUGUCAAACUCACAAACUAGGUGGCUGAUAAAUAUACUGUAUGCAGUCCUUAUACAUAUGACUUAUGAAAUUAUGAAGUUGUGAUUCCUUAAAGAGAGUUCAAACUUGAGAUUACCGCUCUUACCAUCCGAUUGUUUAU